rnacentral:lncRNA from 1 species
UUCGCACUGCAAUUUUGCUCGGCCCGCCUCUAUUUUUCAGUUGACCUCUCUCUCUCUCUUGCUGUGCAUCUCUUCCCACCGAGACCCUCUCAUCCUCUCAGCAACGUCGUCGCCGUCGUCUCUCCCCCAAACCCCCAACCUAGCUUCUGUCCCUAGACGCCUCCGACCCCCUUCACGAUAAAGUCGAAGGCUCGAACUCUUCACUCUUGGUUUGCUCUCUUCGACUCUUCCUCAAGUUGUGAUUCUGUGAAGCUCGGUGACUCAAGCUUGGAGAAAUUUGUGUUCGAUUUCUGGGUUCAAGUUCGGUGAUUCUUCAAGCUCAAUUUCUGGAAUCAUGGAAGCAUUGCUCCUGCCAAGAACUCCAGACUAUCACCUCUGCCUCCAGAACGUGCUAGUUUCAAUUAUGGUAUUGGUGAAACCGUUGAUAUACCUAUUGAUGGAAGUGGGGAUUUGAAAAAGAGGGAGAGGGAACUCCAAGCUAAAGAAGCUGAACUGAGAAAGUGUGAAGAGAUUGUAAAACGGAAAGAGGAUGCUGCAGCACGAGGCUGAAGUCUCUUGUGGAAAUGAAACUGAUUGGAAUUUGAGAAGUGAAUCGAUCAGACUUCCCUUAAUCAAAGAGUAAAAAGAGAUUGCUUCUGGCUCACAGUGACAUGUUGGAGUGGUAUGCUAAGCUUGUCCAGGGACUACUGACUUGAAGCCUUGAACUUAUAGUACAACCGAGCUUAUAGUAAAACCAUGCUAUUCAUGAUGCCCUUGAAGUAUUGUAGCAGCAAUUGCAUACAGGAGAGGCAUCAAGGCAUAGGGGAGUGACAGCGAAAGUAAAGGCUGUUGUUGAUGCAACUUUUGCUGGCAUCUUCAUUGUCAUCACAAAGUGUGUUCUUCAAGACUUGGUUGGUUUCAACAUUUUACUAAACUUUGUUAGAAAACUAGUUCUGUUGAUGUAAUGACUUUGUUGGAUAUAUGGAUGAAUGUAUCGGAUUUUAACAUAAAUGAAUGUGUUUUGGAUGUG